rnacentral:rRNA from 1 species
AAAGAAACCAACUGGGAUUGCCUCAGUAACGGCGAGUGAAGCGGCAAAAGCUCAAAUUUGAAAUCUGGCUCUCUAACGGGGGUCCGAGUUGUAAUUUGAAGAGGAUGCUUCGGGUGCGACCGCGGCGCAAGUCCCCUGGAACGGGGCGUCGCAGAGGGUGAGAAUCCCGUCUUGAGUCGCUGGUACGCGCCCGUGUGAAGCUCCUUCGACGAGUCGAGUUGUUUGGGAAUGCAGCUCUAAGCGGGUGGUAAAUUUCAUCUAAAGCUAAAUAUUGGCCGGAGACCGAUAGCGCACAAGUAGAGUGAUCGAAAGGUUAAAAGCACCUUGAAAAGGGAGUUAAAUAGCACGUGAAAUUGUUGAAAGGGAAGCGCUUGCGGCCAGACUCGGGUGCGGGGGUUCAGCGGCCAUUCGUGGUCGUGUACUCCCCCGCUGCUCGGGCCAGCAUCGGUUCGGGCGGUCGGUCAAAGGCCCCAGGAAUGUGUCACCUCUCGGGGUGUCUUAUAGCCUGGGGUGCAAUGCGGCCUGCCUGGACCGAGGAACGCGCUUCGGCUCGGAUGCUGGCAUAAUGGCCGUAAGCGGGC